GAAGAGAAUAGUAAAAAGAAACAAAAGUGUCCAUUUUGGGGGAUCGGACUCUCUCUCUCUCUCUCUCUCUCUCUUCUCUUGCUUGAGGGGGGAACUUCGCCAUGUCUCGCCAAGCGUCGAAGCUGCUCGGGUCCGCCGCCUCUCGCCUCUUCUCUCUCCGCUCCCCCUCCCCCUCUUCGUCUCCCUCCUCCUCCUCCGCCGCCGCCACCCAAUUCCGGCGAUUUGCGGCAGCGCCGCCGCCGCCUCCGGCGGUGUUCGUGGACAAGAACACCCGGGUCAUCUGCCAGGGCAUCACCGGCAAGAACGGCACCUUCCACACCGAGCAGGCCAUCGAGUACGGCACCAAGAUGGUAGGUGGGGUGACGCCUAAGAAAGGUGGUACUGAACACUUGGGUCUUCCUGUGUUCAACACAGUAGCAGAGGCAAAGGCUGAGACAAAAGCUAAUGCAUCAGUUAUUUAUGUUCCACCACCAUUUGCUGCUGCUGCGAUUUUGGAGGCUAUGGAUGCAGAGUUAGAUCUUGUUGUGUGUAUUACUGAAGGAAUUCCUCAGCAUGAUAUGGUUCGAGUGAAGGCUGCUCUUAACAGGCAAUCAAAAACCCGUCUCAUUGGGCCAAACUGCCCUGGCAUCAUCAAGCCUGGAGAAUGUAAAAUUGGCAUUAUGCCUGGCUACAUUCACAAGCCAGGGCGUAUAGGGAUUGUAUCUCGAUCUGGUACCCUAACAUAUGAAGCGGUUUUUCAAACAACUGCAGUAGGCUUAGGGCAAUCAACUUGUGUAGGUAUUGGUGGGGAUCCUUUUAAUGGAACAAACUUUGUUGAUUGCAUCACCAAGUUUCUUGAUGAUCCUCAGACCGAAGGUAUUGUACUAAUUGGGGAGAUUGGAGGCACUGCCGAAGAGGAUGCAGCUGCUUUAAUAAAGGAAAGUGGAACUGAGAAGCCCGUUGUUGCAUUCAUAGCCGGACUUACUGCACCACCUGGUCGUCGUAUGGGUCAUGCUGGAGCAAUCGUGUCCGGAGGAAAGGGCACUGCCCAAGACAAAAUCAAGACGCUCAGAGAAGCAGGCGUCACUGUUGCCGAGUCCCCAGCCAAGAUUGGUGCUGCCAUGUACGACAUUUUUAAGGAGCGCGGGAUGGUAGAGUAAAAAAGCAUUCCAAGCAUUUUUACGGCAGACAUCCAAGUGAUCUUUCGAUUUAGUGCUGCUUUGAGAUGGCAGUCGCUGAAAUUUAUGAUAUAAGCAUUAGAGUCAACUUCUUGACCCUUUGGUGAGCAAACAAGGGCUUAAUGCAGGUCGAAGUCACCUGGCAGAUUCCAUGUUUUUAUUAUUAUUAUUAUUAUUAUUAUUAUUAUUAUUAUUUAAAAUCACUUUAUUUUUUAAAUAGUAAUUCUAUAAAGUAUAUGUAUAAUAAUUUAUUCGCUAAAUUGUUUUUAGAUAUUUUUAAAAAAGAUUACAAAAUUUGAAUACUUAUGUAUAUAUAAAAAGGGUAAAUGACACCUUUGGUCCUCAAACUAUGUGGCUCGACGGCUCGUGAUAUUUUUGUCAUUAAAUUUUUUUUUGUUGUAA